rnacentral:rRNA from 1 species
UACGUAGGGUGCGAGCGUUAAUCGGAAUUACUGGGCGUAAAGCGUGCGCAGGCGGUUCGUUAAGUCAGAUGUGAAAGCCCCGAGCUUAACUUGGGAAUGGCAUUUGAAACUGGCGGGCUGGAGUGUGGCAGAGGGGGGUGGAAUUCCACGUGUAGCAGUGAAAUGCGUAGAGAUGUGGAGGAACACCGAUGGCGAAGGCAGCCCCCUGGGCCAACACUGACGCUCAGGCACGAAAGCGUGGGGAG